rnacentral:rRNA from 2 species
UCGGGAAUAUUGCCCAAUGGACGCAAGUCUGAGGCAGCAACGCCGCGUGCGCGAUGAAGGCCUUCGGGUCGUAAAGCGCUUUUCGGGAGGAUGAGGAAGGACAGUACUCCCGGAAUAAGGAACGGCUAACUACGUGCCAGCAGCCGCGGUAAAACGUAGGUUCCGAGCGUUAUCCGGAUUUACUGGGCGUAAAGCGUGUUCAGGCGGCUCAGCCAGUCGGGCAUGAAAUCUCUCGGCUCAACCGGGAGAGGCUGUCCGAUACUGCUGGGCUUGAGGGCAGGAGAGGGUGGUGGAAUUCCGGGUGUAGUGGUGAAAUGCGUAGAUAUCCGGAGGAACACCAGUGGCGAAAGCGGCCACCUGGUCUGCACCUGACGCUCAAACACGAAAGCUAGGGGAGCGAACGGG